UUUUGGGCUAAUAAAUUAUGAUGACUUAACAGAAAAUUACUAAACUUUAUUUAGUAGUUUGUGUUUAUUUGAAGAAAGUCAAGUCAUGCAAUACCCAAAAUGCUGGUAUUUAUUGUAUUUUAUCAAAUGUGAAGUAGUUGAUUAUUUCAACAUCAAGAAAUUGUGAAAUUGGAAAAACCGGCAAUCAGGAAAAAUAACUCAACAUUGACGUCAUUUCCCCUAUUCAGGUUCAAUCAGAUAUUAAGUUAAUAAAAUUUCUAUGAAUCUACUCCAAUAUGCGUCCAAUUUUCCAUUUUGUCAACUAAACUUUGACGUUACAACUAAAAUCAUUAAUUUUGGCACAAAUUUAAAAACUAUAAAUUUAAAUCUAAUUAUUAACCAAAUAAAUCAACAUAUUUUAUAAUAACAUCCGAUUCAUUGUAAAUAAAAUAUAUUUCUGUGGAUUAUAUAUUUUUUCAAAAACAAUUAUCAUGCCAACUAAAUAAAACGACUAAAAAUCUACUUAGGUAUUUAUUAAAUAGUUAAUAUCAUGGUCAUUGCUCUUAGUUUUCCCUGCCCAUGCAAAAACAACAAUGUCAUCAUGUCACUUACCUCCGUUUUAACUUUAAUAACAAUAAAUGUUUAAAUAACACCGACACGACACUUAAAUAAUCCAAAAAUUGUGCACUUACAAAAACACAUUACUUCAAUAGCUAUAAUAAAUCUAUUAAAAACGUGCUAGACUAUUGUCACGUAAAACUCAUAAAAAAGUUACUGCAACAAUUAAAUUUACUUUGUGAAUCAUCAAUGCACCAAUGCAUUCGUGUGCAUUCAUGUUUAAUCGGCUUUUGUAUAUACAGUGCUCUAUACAACCCAUACAAUUGUUCUUUUUCACUACUUUCGUGAUUAUCGUUAUCAAAAUUUCAACAUGACUCAAUAAUUUAUACUUAUAUUUAUUAACAACUCCUCUCAGUAGUGAAUAAUAAUGGAAUAUUUGAAUGACUUUUAUUGGAAACUUUACUCACCCAAAACUUCCAAGAACUUAAAUAUUAAAUAUUCUUCACAAAUGUUUAUCACAUUUUGUUUAUAAACACACUAAUUGUCUCAGACACAAAUUACACUAUGUAUAUCAAGGUAAAACAAUAACAAUCUUCUUAAAUCUAGAUCACUUUAAGUUUUAAGGUUAUGAAUUCAUAUAAUAUCCCGUCGCAUGAAGAUAUAGACACAGUUUAUGCGUUUAUAGUGUUAAUUUACACUUAUUGUUCUCGUGAUAAGGUGUUUUUCAUUGUAUUUACUAAGAUUGCAAUCAAUUUGUAUGCACUACCUAUUGUCAUCACUUGUUUAUAGUAUUUACCUUGCUAUUGAAGUAAAAAAUCAAAACAGAAUACAAAUUAAUGAUUUCAUUAUGUAGUUCAAUAUCACUUGGUCACACUUUAGUGAACAAACUAAAAUAAAAACGCGCUAUGUGAAGCACAUUAUGCGAAAUAUGUCUUAUCAGAUCAUGAAUGUUACCACAUUUAUGGUUUUGUUGUCAUAUGAUUCGUUAUUUCGCAUUAUACGCUGUUUUAUUUUUAUUACUAAUGAUAACAGAACAAUUGUGUUCCGCACAAUUACAUUGUACAUAUACACUACUAUAUAAAUCAGCGUUGAUUCUCUCCCAGUAGGUAAUUAUAAUCAUAAUCCCAAUGAUUAUAAUCAGUUAAUGCGGUUUAAUACAACCUGUCUGCUCCUCUGACGAGAUUAGUUAGAUUACUUGAUAGUUGUUCACCUCGUGCGCUUAUCACGGUCAUGCACACGAUUAGCAUCAUUCGCAUGACAUUUUCGAAUAGAAAUAUGCCAUAUAUCAUAACUCACAAUCAACGUUAUUAUCGCAGACACAAAAAAUCAGAUUCAUCCUUUAUUAAUAGGACAACGUAAUCAUAGUAAAUAUUAUCCACAGAUAAAGAAAAACUACUACAACUUAUAUGUAUCCAUCUUGAAAUCAUUCAUAUAAAACUAUUAUUUAUCUUAUACAUACUAAAAUUAACUUAAUGUUUAAAUAACCAUCAAUCGCGGUGCAAUAUUCAUCGACAUCAAUUCCUGGAAAAGCAACUUCGCCGCAUACGGUAAUUUCACCUGUGAAAUCUGCGUCUUAUUCUUACAACCCUUACACUCAAACGUAUUAUUCCUCAUGUUGGCAAUCGCAAUUAACCCGCAGAAGUUACAAAUGUGUAUACGAUACGGAUCUGACACCUCAAAGAGACGCUCUUUCAAAAACUGCGCUGCGCCGUGACUGAUUUGACAAUCACGCUCCAUCUCACCGAAACGCAAGCCGCCAUCACGCGCCCUACCUUCCAUAGGUUGACGAACCAAAAUCUGCACAGGACCACGCGCUCUUGAGUGAAUUUUAUCAUCCACCAUAUGUUUCAAGCGCUGAUAGUAAGUAGGUCCAAGGAAGACCUGCGCGUUGAUUUUCCUUCCUGUAUGACCAUUGUACAUCACCUCAUUACCACGCAAGUGAUAACCGUACUCUUGUAAAAGCGUGGAGAUUUUCUGUACGUUGACAGCAUCGUUAAAUGGAGUAGCAUCACCGAUUUCUCCUUUGUUUGAGGAAACUUUACCCUGGAUACAUUCAAUCAAAUGACCAAUUGUCAUACGUGAGGGAUAGCGUGAGGAUUGAUGAUGAUAUCCGGUGUAAGACCUUCGCAAGUAAAUGGCAUAUCCUGAAAAUUAAAGAUUAUGUUAAAAAUGA